CAUCAGACACGAAGGAGAGGCCAACAGAUGAGGGAAGCCAUUUUUCUGCAAUGGAAUUAAAUGGCCAAGUGGGUUUUUCCUUUGUUGCAAAUGGGGAAUGUUUUUCCUUUGACUCUACCAUCCAAUUCAGGACGUCUCAGUGUGUUUAACAUUUGUCAGCAGGCCCAAGGACUCACAGUUGGAAGACUGGAGAAGACUUUUUAAAAAGAUCUGGAUUUUUCCUUAUGACUUGGAAUCCAUCUUUGUCUUGUAUAACUAGGUCAUAGCACACCAUUCAUGUCAGCAGUUAACAGUUUUGAAUUCCAAAAAAACCUAAAGCAGUAAACAGUCCUCAGCGAAGCCGCCUUUUUGCCUACCCAACCCUGGAAAGUUUGCAGAAGUGGAAGGAGCAGAACGUGAGGGUGUAACUUACAAAAAGGUUCUGGGCCGGAGAAGGGGCGACGUUCGGGCACCCCCCGAAUGGACAAUCUUUCCUUCUGUCGACGGCAGGGGCAGGCCUAGUUUGACUCUGACAGUCCUCCCACUAAGCUUCUGUUGGUAGGCAUUUGGGGCGUGCAAUUCUCUGCCGAAUUUAGCAGCAUACGAGAGGAUCUACUUGCAAGUAUUUCCCAGUUGUGUGUUCUUCGGCGGGGGAAGGGCCCUGGGUGCCGCCUACUUCUGAAAGACACAGGUCACUGCCAGAAAGCCCAACUGUGCUGUGGCCUCCCCUCCAGCCGCCCCCGUGGGGCAUGUGGGGUGACAGUGUGAGCCGUCCUCUGUCUGGCUGCUAGGGAGGCAAAGAACAGAGACCCGAGGUUCUGGCCAGCUUUCUCUAUGAAAGGGCCUUCCUUGACGCUUCUCCACUUUCCUGGGAUUGUUUUCUUCUCCAGUCCCUAAAUGGGCACGCCUGUAUAUAAACCUUGUUUCUAGAACCAGACAAAGCUGGAUUUGAAACCUGGUGAGCCAUUGAACAGCUAUGGCCUUGCGUAAGCGGCAUAGUCUCCAAGCCUGUUUCUCCAUCUCCGAAAACAG
rnacentral:lncRNA from 1 species